rnacentral:lncRNA from 1 species
UUAUCAACUAUAUAAUGAGUUUUUUGUCUUCCUUUCAAAUUCUUGCACCUUCUGUUUAUUUUUCUUGCCUUAUUGCACUGGUGAGGAUACCGAAUACAAUGCAAAACAGGGGUGCUGACUGUGAACGACGUAGUCUUCCUCCCAGUCUCAAAAGGAAGGGUUUCAACAUUAACCUUUGUAAGGUUUUUAUUUAUUUAUUUAUUUUUAGAUUAAGGAAGUGCACUUCUAUUCCUAGUUUUCCAAGAGUGUUUUUUUUUUUUUAAAUCAUACAUGGACAUUGAAUUUUAUUAAAUAAUUUUCAUGUAUCUUCUGAGAACAUUAGCAGGACUAUCCUGCUAGUGUGGUAACUCUUGCCGAUUUUCAUGUGUUAGAAUGACUUUCCUUUGGAGGGAUAAACUUGUUUUGCUCGUGAUGUGGCACCUUCUUCCUGGAACACUCUGACCAGUUAGCUCCUGGUGUUUGUGAUUCCUGCUGUUGUGUGGGAGAGAGAAACUGGCCUGUGAUUUUCCUUGUGAUUUUGGUAUCAGGGUUAUGUUGGUCUCAUCACAAGAAGUGAGACUUUCCUCCUUUCCUUUCCUUCUUUAGAGGGAAGCGUUGUGCAAGAUCAGAUUUCAUCAAUGUUUGUAAGAGCCAUGUGUUGAGACUUCCUGCUGGUUCACAGAUUCAUCCCUGCUCCUUGUGAUCUGUUAGUUUCUGCUGGGGAUACUCCAGGCCUCGUACUUAAGUAAAUACUAAAAAUUGAGGCAUUGUUAAUUAACCCUGUCAAGGGUAGUUUCAUAGUAUCCCUUUGUAACUUUAGUGAUGUUUUUACCUUAAAGUCAACUUCUUCUGAUUUUAAUAUAGCUAUGCUAACCAUUUUUUUGUGGGGGUGGUGGUGCAGAAUACAUCUUUUUCUGUAACUUUCAACCUUUCUGUACCUUUAAUUGUAGACAGACACAUUUUGUUAAUGGCAUGUAGGAUUUAAAAAAUACAGUUUGACAGCCUAUCUUUCAAAUGGAUAAUUUAUUUAAUAGUGAUUUUUGCUUUCUCCCACCUCUUUUGCUUGCCUUUCUUGCCUUCUAUUUGAUUAGUUUUUAUUACUCCACUUCUUUUUAAAAAUUUUUUAUUUAAAAAGUCUUUUUUUUUUUAAAUGUAUUUUUUGGUGUACACAACACAAUGCCUUUAUUUUUAUUUGGUGCUGAGGAUCGAACCGGGUCCCACCCGUGCUGGGCGAGCACUCUACCGCUGAGCCACCAUCCCAGCCCCUAAAAAGUUUUUUUUUUUUAAGUUGUAGAUGGAUACAAUACCUUUCUUUUCUUUCUUUAUUUUUUAUGUGGUGCUGAGAAUCAAACCCAGUGCCUCACACAUGCUAGAUGGGUGCUCUGCCUACCUUGAGCCCCGGCCCAGCCCCAUUACCCCAUUUCUUAUCCUUUAUAGCUGGCAAUUAUACACUUUUUUUAAAUUUUGUACUGGGGAUUGAACCCAGGGGUGCUUAACAACUAACUCUCAUCCCCAGCCCCUUUUAUUUUUUGAGACAGGAUCUCAUUAAAUUGCUUAGGGUCUUGCUUAGUUGCUGAGGCUGGCCUCAAAUUUGUGAUUCUCCUGCCUCAGCCUCCUGGGUCCUGGAAUGACAGGCUUGGACUGUGCCAGACUCUAGUUUAACAUAUGUUUUUGUUUAGAACUUCCACUUGUCCUGUUUAUGUCUCUGUUAU